GAAGUUUUUCAUCUGUUGUUGUGGUUUGAUAUCUAACUAUCUAAUCAAGCAUCAUCAGUGUGUCUCUUGUUGCAGGGAUCAAACAUGGUCCUUCUCCCACCUGAUUGGAUGGUGGAGAUGAAGGAGGAAGAGGAGGAUGAAGAGGAAGAGGAUGAAGAGGAGACCAAAUCAGUGAUCUAAAAGUCUGCACUUUGUGUCUGGACUUUGGGCUGACUGGUUGUUUGAAAACCAUG